GAUGAAGAACGUAGCGAAAUGCGAUAAGUAAUGUGAAUUGCAGAAUUCAGUGAAUCAUCGAAUCUUUGAACGCACCUUGCGCCCUUUGGCCAUUCCGAAGGGCAUGCCUGUUUGAGUAUCAUGAACACCUCAACUCUUCAUGGUUUUCCGUGAUGAGCUUGGACUUUGGGGGUCUUGCUGGCCUAUGGUCAGCUCCUCUAAAAUAAAUCAGCUUGCCAGUGUUUGGUGGGUAUCACAGGUGUGAUAACUAUCUACGCUUGUGGUUUUCCACCAGGUAACCUUCAGCAGUGGAGGUUCGCUGGAGCUCACAGAUGUGUCUCUACUCAGUGAGGACAGCUCUUUGAAUGUUUGAUCUCAAAUCAGGUAGGACUACCCGCUGAACUUAAGCAUAUCAAUAAGCGGAGGA
rnacentral:misc_RNA from 1 species